UGCAGGUGGGGGAGGGCCGGGCCGGUCAUCCUCUGCCCUCCCCUCUCCCCACUUGGAAGGUUCCAGAACCAAGGACUCGGGACCCACUUGUUAAAAUAGACACUCACAACUGUGUUGCUAAGAAGCGUCCACGGCACCGUGAAUGUGCGGGUGUGAGUGCUUCCGGCAAGGACCACAGAUGUGGCCGCAGGACAAAAAUGAGGGAGGGGACCCGAUGUGACAGCUGCACCUGCCCCUGGGGGCACACGCUUGGUCUCCCUGCUGCAGCGCCCUUGCCCUGGUGGGCGCCCUGCGGGAGGCGGCUCCUCCACAACAGCGUGGGCUCAGGGGGCCACCAGACAGUCGGUGGCACUGAGGAACAGGCAGCUGCAGGGCCCCGGCGAGGAGGCCGGUUUGACAGGGACAUGUCGUGAGGGGAUACCGCCUGGCCCUCAGGCCAGGGUCCUUUUGCACAGGCUUCCCUACUAAACUACCCGGAUGGAAGCAGAACUUUUUAAAAAGAUCAGGACCUGGAGAGGUAUUCCAAGUUCAUCCUUCUCAAAUGUCACAAAAGAACAGUAGCCAUCGGUGGAAGAAAUGGCCAGGAAGGCGCCGUCGCUGGACCUUUGUUCCCCAAACAGGAGGAAAGCCCCCAGCUCGACUUUCUCAGGCACUGGCACGUCUCGGGACUGUCCUCAAAGUCACCAAAUUGAAGGUCACAAUCUUAGGAUCCUUGGAUCAAGGCCUGCACCAGGCUCCGUGCUCAGCAGGGAAUCUGCUUGAGAUUCUCCCUCUCUCUCUGCCACUCCCCCCACCUGUGCUCGCACACAUUCUCUCAA